rnacentral:lncRNA from 1 species
AGCAUUAGAGAAUUUUUUCCUCUGCCUGUGGUUUUUUUCCCCAAAAGGGUUUUCACGUAAAAUCUGUGUGUUCUUAUUUUCACAUUUUCCCCUCAUUUUGUUACUGAAAACUUUUUCUUUGCUGCAUCUCCGUUCUGUUUCUUCAUAUUCUCUUGUUUUGUUUUCAUAAUUUCAAUAUCAAUCUUUAUUCCUCUCUUUUUUCGUUCCUCUACCUAAUACUGCUAUCGUCCUGAUGUUGAACUUACUUAGAGUCAUUUUUGGUCAUCCAUUCUUAGUUGGUUGUGGUCUUUUAAAGGUUUGGAAGGGUAUUAUAACUUUUUGUAAAUUUAAACGUUGUUUUGUAUGAAAGUCAUUUUAUUUUUUUUUUUGGAAAGCUUUUAGUCAGUUGUUGUUGUUGCAAGGUUGUUGGAUUAAUUAUGAUUGAUUCUAUUUAGGUGAGGUUCGUGGGACGCACAACCUUCCUCUAACGAAUUAAGUGUCGUUAGCCGCUAAUUUUCUGGGUAAGUGACCAAAUGCUUAAGUUUAGGGGUUGGUAUUAAGUGAUCAAGUGUCGAAUGCUUAGAUUCAGACUCAAUGUUUCUUUUUAAUGGGUUUGAUUAUGUUUUCAUGCAGAAUUGAUUAGCUGCUAUAGUGUUGGCCCUUCAUUAGCGGUCAGGUGUGUGACCUAACCCGGAAUUUUUGAAAACAAACUUGGAAAUCUUGAAAUUUUGUUAAAACUGAAAGGAGGCUAAUGAUACCACACGACUGUGUUUCGAGCCGUGUGAGACACACGGGUGUGUGGGCCACACGGUCUGGUUGAGGUAGGGCAUGUGGGCUAUUUUGAGUGGUCCGUUGGGCCGCCAUGUUCGGGCCAAGUAUUAAAUUCUAGACUAUAUUCUGUAAUAUUCUGAAUAUGUGUUAAAUCACGAUAUCUGUAAACUUAUGUGUAUGCGUUUCUGUAAAAGUGGGUUUCUGUUCAAUAAGACUCUAAGUAAGCUUAAA